rnacentral:rRNA from 1 species
GAAACCGACACAGGUAGGGAGGUUGAGAAUACCAAGGGGCGCGAGAUAACUCUCUCUAAGGAACUCGGCAAAAUGGCCCCGUAACUUCGGGAGAAGGGGUGCCCACCUCAGACGUGGGUCGCAGUGAAGAGAUCCAGGCGACUGUUUACCAAAAACACAGGUCUCCGCCAACUCGCAAGAGGACGUAUGGGGGCUGACGCCUGCCCAGUGCCGGAAGGUUAAGGAAGCUGGUCAGCGAAAGUAAAGCUGGCGACUGAAGCCCCGGUGAACGGCGGCCGUAACUAUAACGGUCCUAAGGUAGCGAAAUUCCUUGUCGGGUAAGUUCCGACCCGCACGAAAGGCGUAACGAUCUGGAUGGUGUCUCAGAGAGAGACUCGGCGAAAUAGGAAUGUCUGUGAAGAUACGGACUGCCUGCACCUGGACAGAAAGACCCUAUGAAGCUUUACUGUAGCCUGGAAUUGUGUUCGGGCUUCGCUUGCGCAGGAUAGGUGGGAAGCGGUGAACUAUUCCUUUUGGGGAAUAGGGAGCUAACGGUGAGAUACCACUCUGGCGAAGCUAGAAUUCUAACCCACGACCGUCAGCCGGUUGGGGAACAGUUUCAGGUGGGCAGUUUGACUGGGGCGGUCGCCUCCUAAAAAGUAACGGAGGCGCGCAAAGGUUCCCUCAGCACGCUUGGAAACCGUGCGACGAGUGUAAAAGCAAAAGGGAGCUUGACUGCAAGACUGACAAGUCGAGCAGGUACGAAAGUAGGCUUUAGUGAUCCGACGGCGCAGAGUGGAAUGGCCGUCGCUCAACGGAUAAAAGUUACUCUAGGGAUAACAGGCUGAUCUCCCCCAAGAGUCCACAUCGACGGGGAGGUUUGGCACCUCGAUGUCGGCUCAUCGCAACCUGGGGCGGAAGUACGUCCCAAGGGUUGGGCUGUUCGCCCAUUAAAGCGGUACGUGAGCUGGGUUCAGAACGUCGUGGGACAGUUCGGUCCAUAUCCGGUGCAGGCGCAAGAGUAUUGAGAGGAGUCCUCCUUAGUACGAGAGGACCGGGAGGAACGCACCGCUGGUGUACCAGUUAUUGUACCAACAGUAAACGCUGGGUAGCCAAGUGCGGAGAGGAUAACCGCUGAAAGCAUCUAAGUGGGAAGCCCACCUUAAGAUGAGUACUCUCACUACAAAAAGUAGGUAAGGUCACGGGCAGAACACCCGUUAAUAGGCUCUAAGUGGAAGUGCAGUAAUGUAUGAAGCUGAGGGGUACUAAUAGACCGAGGGCUUGAC